ensembl:lncRNA
GUCAAAUAGUUUCAUUGUUUUGCUGGCAUGCAUUGCAAAGACAAAGCAAAUCAAUCCAUCGAUCAAUCAGUGGAUGCACAGGGUGUUACCCAACUUAUAGUGGCAUUUCUGUAGCACAGUGUGACUUCAGCGACACUGAAAAUAAUCAGCAAUUUGUGCAUUCGUGACUGGCUGUAAUACUGGUAGCUUAGCUAUAGCAUUUGUAGCGGAGGGCUUCAGCUUCUGGGUAACAAGGAAAUGACAUCAUUCACUUGAAAUUUCAAGCUACUUUUCUCAAAAUUUUGAGUUAUGGAUACUGGAUACUUUUUUUUUUUCUUUUUUUUUUUUUUAAGUGGUGGAAACGGGGCUCUCGCUCCUAUAAUAAAAACUACAAUAAUAAUUAUUAUAGUUUAACCCAAAAGAUGAGUUGCAUAUAAAAAUAUCAUAUAAACUGAUGACGUAUGUAGUUUUAAGAAGUUUUUUUUCCUAAUAUUUAAGCUCAUUACAUAGAAGGGCAGGAUUUACAGACGGAUCUACUAACCAAAAAAAAUGUUGGUGGUUUUUUAUUUUUUAUUUUUAAAGCUGGUUUCCAACAAUGCUGGAAGAACCUGCUCCUAUUCAUAUUCUAAUUAGAGCCAUCAACACCUGUGCCAGACUGUGGAUUCACCCUCCCUGCUCACUCCUCCCUCCCAUGGGUAACUAUGGGUUUGUUUCCAAUAAUUUCUGGCAUCUGUAAAUGGUGGCUUCACAGUUUGUAAACGUCUGUUAACUUGAGUAAUCAGGGAUCAUUCAAGUCUGCAUGUGUUUAUAGUGCUGAAAAUCUGCUUUUCCAUGAAGUGUGCGUUUUGCACUUCAGUAGUGUAACAUGCUUAGGUGUUUAUUUUUGGCCCAUUGCACCCCCAACUGACCCUGCAGUGGCAAUAAUAAUGUUCUGGUGGUACAUAGGCUUAACUGCUAAUUGUUCACACCUGAAAGUGUGGUUAAGGACAUGCUUGAAUUAGCUUGGCAGUGGCUGCCAUUUCU